rnacentral:rRNA from 1 species
UACGAAGGGGGCUAGCGUUGUUCGGAAUCACUGGGCGUAAAGCGCACGUAGGCGGCUUGUUAAGUCAGAGGUGAAAGCCUGGAGCUCAACUCCAGAACUGCCUUUGAUACUGGCGAGCUCGAGUAUGACAGAGGUUGGUGGAACUCCGAGUGUAGAGGUGAAAUUCGUAGAUAUUCGGAAGAACACCAGUGGCGAAGGCGGCCAACUGGGUCAUUACUGACGCUGAGGUGCGAAAGCGUGGGGAGCAAACAGG